AUCGGUACGACGAGUUUGAUCAUGGCUCAGAACGAACGCUGGCGGCAGGCCUAACACAUGCAAGUCGAGCGAACCCUUCGGGGUUAGCGGCGGACGGGUUAGUAACGCGUGGGAAUAUACCCUUUGGUACGGAAUAGCCUCGGGAAACUGAGAGUAAUACCGUAUGUGCCCUUCGGGGAAGGAUUAUCGCCAAAGGAUUAGCCCGCGUUGGAUUAGGUAGUUGGUGGGGUAAUGGCCUACCAAGCCUACGAUCCAUAGCUGGUUUGAGAGGAUGAUCAGCAACACUGGGACUGAGACACGGCCCAGACUCCUACGGGAGGCAGCAGUGGGGAAUCUUAGACAAUGGGCGCAAGCCUGAUCUAGCCAUGCCGCGUGGACGAUGAAGGCCUUAGGGUUGUAAAGUCCUUUCAGAUGGGAAGAUAAUGACGGUACCAUCAGAAGAAGCCCCGGCUAACUCCGUG
rnacentral:rRNA from 1 species